rnacentral:lncRNA from 1 species
CUCUCCCCUUCCUCCCCCCUUUCUCUUCCUCCUUCUCCCCCUCAACCUGCAUUUGGGGACAGAGGAGAUGUCCCGAGUCCUGCCCGGAGUCUCCCCUCCUCUCCCCUCUAAUUCUUUAGCAAAAUACACCAAAUCUUGGCUUUUCUCUCCAGCUCCCUCUGCUCCCCAGACCCUCUCUCUGUCCCUGGGCCCUAAAGCCCAGUUCCUUGAUCCUUAUAAGCCCCUCCCAAACUCUCCCAGUUCCCCCAUUCCGUCCCCAGCCCCAUCCCUGUUCCAUCCCAGCCCCAUCCUCAUCCCUAUCCCAUCCCAUCCCUAUCCCAUCCUCAUCCCAUUCCCAUCCCUAUCCCAUCCCCAUCCCUUUCACAUCUCAUCCCUUUCACAUCCUCAUCCCGUUCCCAUCCCGUUCCCAUCCCUAUCCCAUCCCCAUCCUCAUCCCCAUCCCCAUCCCUUUUGCAUCCCAUCCCUAUCCCAUUCCCAUCCCCAUCCUCAUCCCUUUUGCGUCCCAUCCCGUUCCCAUCCUCAUCCCAUCCCCAUCCUCAUCCCAUUCCCAUCCCAUCCCCAUCCUCAUCCCGUUCCCAUCCCCAUCCCUAUCCCAUCCCUAUCCCAUCCCUAUCCCAUCUUUAUCCUCAUCCUGUUCCCAUCCCAUCCUCAUCCCUAUCCCAUCCCCAUCCUCAUCCCUAUCCCAUCCCAUCCUGUCCCCAUCCUCAUCCCUUCUGCAUCCCAUCCCAUUCCCAUCCCCAUCCUCAUCCCUAUCUCAUCCCAUCCCAUUCCCAUCCUCAUCCUCAUCCCUUUUGCAUCCCAUUCCAUCCUCAUCCUCAUCCCUAUCCCAUCCCUAUCCCAUCCCAUCCUCAUCCCUAUCCCAUCCCUAUUCCAUCCCCAUCCUCAUCUCUUUUGCAUCCCAUCCCUAUCCCGUCCUUAUCCUCAUCCUCAUCCCAUCCCUAUCCCAUCCAAUCCUCAUCCCUUUCGCAUCCCAUCCCUAUCCCAUCCUCAUCCCAUCCCUAUCCCAUCUUCAUCCCCAUCCUCAUCCCUUUCGCAUCCCAUCCCUAUCCCGUCCUUAUCCUCAUCCCAUCCCCAUCCCUAUCCCAUCCUCAUCCCUAUCCCAUCCCAUCCCGUCCCCAUCCUCAUCCCUAUCCCAUCCCAUCCUCAUCCCUUUCGCAUCCCAUCCCUAUCCUAUCCCCAUCCCAUCCCUAUCCCAUCCUCAUCCUCAUCCUGUUCCUAUCCCAUCCCCAUCCCUCUCGCAUCCCAUCCCCAUCCCAUCCUCAUCCUCAUCCCAUUCCCNNNNNNNNNNNNNNNNNN